rnacentral:rRNA from 1 species
AGAGUUUGAUCCUGGCUCAGGAUAAACGCUGGCGGCGUGCUUUAUGCAUGCAAGUCGAACGAGUCACUUCGGUGACUAGUGGCAGACGGGUGAGUAACGCGCAGGUAACCUGCCCCUAAGUAGGGAAUAACUCUGAGAAAUCGGAGCUAAUGCCUUAUGUGAUGGUGUGGAUAAGGCUGCACCAUUAAAGCCUUCGGGCGCUUGGGGAGGGGCCUACGUCCGAUUAGCUAGUUGGUAAGGUAAUGGCCUACCAAGGCGACGAUCGGUAGCUGGUUUGAGAGGACGACCAGCCACACUGGGACUGAGAUACGGCCCAGACUCCUACGGGAGGCAGCAGCAAGGAAUAUUGUGCAAUGGGCGAAAGCCUGACACAGCGACGCCGCGUGGGGGAAGAAGGCCUUCGGGUUGUAAACCCCUUUUCCCAGGGAAGAAUAAUGACGGUACCUGGGGAAUAAGCCCCGGCUAACUACGUGCCAGCAGCCGCGGUAAUACGUAGGGGGCAAGCGUUAUCCGGAUUUACUGGGCAUAAAGAGGGCGUAGGCGGCUUUUCAAGUCGGAUGUAAAAUCUCCCGGCUCAACUGGGAGGGACCAUUCGAUACUGCUGGGCUAGAGGGCAGCAGAGGGAGGUGGAAUUCCCGGUGUAGUGGUGAAAUGCGUAGAUAUCGGGAGGAACACCAGUGGCGAAGGCGGCCUCCUGGGCUGUUACUGACGCUGAGGCCCGUAAGCGUGGGGAGCAAACAGGAUUAGAUACCCUGCUAGUCCACGCUGUGAACGAUGGACACUAGGUAUGGGGGGUAUCGACCCCCCUCCGUGCCGAAGCUAAUGCUUUAAGUGUCCCGCCUGGGGACUACGGUCGCAAGACUAAAACUCAAAGGAAUUGACGGGGGCCCGCACAAGCAGCGGAGCGUGUGGUUUAAUUCGAUGCACACGAGAUCUUACCAAGCUUGACAUGAUGAAGUAGCGACCGAAAGUAGCGACCUGUUAGUCAGGAGCAUCCACAGGUGCUGCAUGCUGUCGUCAGCUCGUGCCGUGAGGUGUCGGGUAGUCCAUACCGAGCGCCAUCCCUUGUGCCAGUAAUUUCCUGGCGAACUGGCUUGCAAACGGGAGGA